GCCUUCCCGUUGAGUUUCAGGUCGAGGUUCCUUCUAGAGCUCCAAGUGCUAGUGUGAGUGUAUUUGGUGUCUCGGCCGAAUCAAUGCAGUGCUCUUACGACACGAGGGGCAAUAGUGUCCCAACUAUUCUACUACUGAUGCAAGAACGAUUGUACUCACAAGGCGGUCUAAAGUCGAAAGGAAUAUUCCGGAUACAUCCGGAGAACAGCAAAGAGGAACACGUGAGGGACCAGCUGAACAGGGGGAUAGUUCCACAGGAUAUAGAUGUGCACUGUUUGGCUCGUCUG